rnacentral:rRNA from 1 species
AGAUUGAACGCUGGCGGCAGGCCUAACACAUGCAAGUCGAGCGGUAGAGAGGUGCUUGCACCUCUUGAGAGCGGCGGACGGGUGAGUAAUGCCUAGGAAUCUGCCUAGUGGUGGGGGGAUAACGUUCGGAAACGGACGCUAAUACCGCAUACGUCCUACGGGAGAAAGCGGGGGACCUUCGGGCCUCGCGCCAUUAGAUGAGCCUAGGUCGGAUUAGCUAGUUGGUGAGGUAAUGGCUCACCAAGGCGACGAUCCGUAACUGGUCUGAGAGGAUGAUCAGUCACACUGGAACUGAGACACGGUCCAGACUCCUACGGGAGGCAGCAGUGGGGAAUAUUGGACAAUGGGCGAAAGCCUGAUCCAGCCAUGCCGCGUGUGUGAAGAAGGUCUUCGGAUUGUAAAGCACUUUAAGUUGGAGGAAGGUUGUAACUUAAUACGUUGCAACUUUGACGUUACCGACAGAAUAAAGCAACCGGCUAACUUCGUGCCAGCAGCCGCGGUAAC